CGGUUUUUACUUGGGCAAGCGAGUUUGGUGUGAUUGUGUUAAUUUGAAGACGCAGCGGGAGUAUCGAGCGGGAAAUCUUACAGGUCAGGAGAAUCGAGAAGGUGAUCAGGCUGCCUAGCUAGAGUAGUGGUAUUUGAGUUACAGCAUUAUUGUGAGUUUCGUUAUGUUCAUUUUGAACUUAUAAAAUUUGGAAUUUGUAAUAGUGUGCUGUAAUAAGAAAUUGAGGAGUUGGGUAUUGUAUUAUUGAGUGGUGUGAGGUGUGUUACUCUGCAAGAAAAUUUUAGAUUGGUAUUUGUAUUUGUAAUUAUUCAUGUUUCGGAUUUGAAUUUCUUAUUCAAAAUUCGGGGCGUGACA